rnacentral:rRNA from 1 species
UUGAAGAUGAGCCUGCGUCUGAUUAACUAGACGGUGAGGUAAUGGCUUACCGUGGCGAUGAUAAGUAGGCGGCUUUAACGAGUGGUCGCCCACACUGGGAUUGAGAUACGGCCCAGACUCCUACGGGAGGCAGCAGUCGAGGAUAGUCUACAAUGGUCGAGAGAUUGAUAGUGCGACGCCGCGUGAACGAAGAAGCAUUUCGGUGUGUAAAGUUCUUUUCUAUGGGAGCAGGAUAUUGGAGGUGAAUAGUUUCUGAUAUUUGAUAUUACUAUAGGAAUAAGCCACGGCUAACUCCGUGCCAGCAGCCGCGGUAAUACGGGGGUGGCAAGCGUUGUCCGGAAUUACUAGGCGUAAAGGGCAGGUAGGCGGUUGUAUAAGUUAAUCGUUAAAGGCCCAUGCUUACCAUGGGUAAGGCGGUUGAUACUGUAUAACUGGAAGACGGUGGGGGAAGACGGAAUUCCUGGUGUAGCGGUGGAAUGCGCAGAUAUCAGGAGGAACACCAAAGGCGAAGGCAGUCUUCUACGCCGAUUUUGACGCUAAACUGCGAAGGUGCGGGUAUCAAACAGGAUUAGAUACCCUGGUAGUCCGCACAGUAAACGAUAAUCACUAGGUGUCGGUAGGAUAGACCUGUCGGUGCCGUAGCUAGCGCGAUAAGUGAUUCGCCUGGGGAGUACGAUCGCAAGGUUGAAACUCAAAGGAAUUGACGGGGGCCCGCACAAGCGGUGGAGCAUGUGGUUUAAUUCGAUGCAACGCGAAGAACCUUACCUGGGCUUGACAUCUACCGGGAUCUUUCAGAGAUGAGGGAGUG